AUUGAACGCUGGCGGUAUGCUUAACACAUGCAAGUCGAACGGUAACAGGCCUUCGGGUGCUGACGAGUGGCGGACGGGUGAGUAACGCGUAGGAAUCUGCCUCAUAGUGGGGGACAACGUGGGGAAACUCACGCUAAUACCGCAUACGCCCUACGGGGGAAAGCGGGGGAUCGUAAGACCUCGCGCCAUGAGAUGAGCCUGCGUUAGAUUAGCAAGUUGGUGGGGUAAAAGCUUACCAAGGCGACGAUCUAUAGCUGGUCUGAGAGGACGAUCAGCCAAACUGGGACUGAGACACGGCCCAGACUCCUACGGGAGGCAGCAGUGGGGAAUAUUGGACAAUGGGCGGAAGCCUGAUCCAGCAAUACCGCGUGUGUGAAGAAGGCCUUAGGGUUGUAAAGCACUUUCAAUAGGGAGGAACACCUGCCGGUCAAUACCCGGUAGCUUGACAUUACCUAUAGAAGAAGCACCGGCUAACUCCGUGCCAGCAGCCGCCGUAAUAC
rnacentral:rRNA from 1 species